rnacentral:rRNA from 1 species
AUGCUACCACUACCCGUCCACCGGUCCUUCAUGCGCGGCCACUACUGGUCGGGCAUGAAGGCCAACUGGAUCGUCCUCAUCCACCAAUCCGUUAGUCCGUGGCAUCUCAUGGAUAUCUACAACCACAGACGCAAAUGCGCUGGCCUUCAUGACUCCAGGACCUGGAAUCAUACCAGCCGAUGGUACCAUAUAACUGGAAUUAACCGAUGCAACUCCAAGAAGGAUUGGCCGGUGCUGCCGGCUGGCGUCAAGUUCGAUCCCAUGGAUCAGGAGCUGAUCGAGCACCUUGAGGCCAAAGUGAGUGCUGACAGCGCGAGAUCUCACCCUCUCAUCGAUUUGUUCAUACCAACCAUCGACAGCAAGCACGGCAUAUGCUACACCCAUCCUGAGAAACUUCCAGCAAGCAUUUCUUCGGAGUGUGGCAUGUGGACGUGUCGCAAGAUACAGUCGGAGUGCGGCAUGCACGCGAUGUGGCACAAGACCGGCAAUACCUUUCCGGUGAUGGUCAAUGGCCGGCAGACAGGCAGCAGAAAGGUUCUGGUGCUGCACACCAACAAGAACUUCGACCAUUCCCGCAAAACAAAGAACUUCGACCAGCAGAGGACCAACUGGGUGAUGCACCACUACCACCUCGGGGACCUGGAGCAAGAGAUGGAGUGGGAGCUGGUCCUCUGCAACAUUUUCUACCAAACGAACACUAGGUCCAGGACUAAAAAGAUUAUAAGUUAG